GUAAGACUGGGAUAACUCCGGGAAACCGGAGCUAAUACCGGAUAGUUCCUUGAACCGCAUGGUUCAAGGAUGAAAGGCGGUUUCGGCUGUCACUUACAGAUGGACCCGCGGCGCAUUAGCUAGUUGGUGGGGUAAUGGCUCACCAAGGCGACGAUGCGUAGCCGACCUGAGAGGGUGAUCGGCCACACUGGGACUGAGACACGGCCCAGACUCCUACGGGAGGCAGCAGUAGGGAAUCUUCCGCAAUGGACGAAAGUCUGACGGAGCAACGCCGCGUGAGUGAUGAAGGUUUUCGGAUCGUAAAGCUCUGUUGUUAGGGAAGAACAAGUGCGAGAGUAACUGCUCGCACCUUGACGGUACCUAACCAGAAAGCCACGGCUAACUACGUGCCAGCAGCCGCGGUAAUACGUAGGUGGCAAGCGUUGUCCGGAAUUAUUGGGCGUAAAGGGCUCGCAGGCGGUUUCUUAAGUCUGAUGUGAAAGCCCCCGGCUCAACCGGGGAGGGUCAUUGGAAACUGGGAAACUUGAGUGCAGAAGAGGAGAGUGGAAUUCCACGUGUAGCGGUGAAAUGCGUAGAGAUGUGGAGGAACACCAGUGGCGAAGGCGACUCUCUGGUCUGUAACUGACGCUGAGGAGCGAAAGCGUGGGGAGCGAACAGGAUUAGAUACCCUGGUAGUCCACGCCGUAAACGAUGAGUGCUAAGUGUUAGGGGGUUUCCGCCCCUUAGUGCUGCAGCUAACGCAUUAAGCACUCCGCCUGGGGAGUACGGUCGCAAGACUGAAACUCAAAGGAAUUGACGGGGGCCCGCACAAGCGGUGGAGCAUGUGG
rnacentral:rRNA from 1 species